UACAGAGGUCCCAAGCGUUGUUCGGAUUCACUGGGCGUAAAGGGUGCGUAGGUGGUGAGGUAAGUCGGAUGUGAAAGCUCGGAGCUCAACUCCGAAAUGGCAUUAGAAACUACCUUGCUUGAGGGUUGGAGGGGGGACUGGAAUACUUGGUGUAGCAGUGAAAUGCGUAGAUAUCAAGUGGAACACCAGUGGCGAAGGCGAGUCCCUGGACAAAUCCUGACACUGAGGCACGAAAGCUAGGGGAGCAAACAGG
rnacentral:rRNA from 1 species